AAAGCUAAAAUGAAAGAUACUAAGAUAAAAACAUCAUAUGAUAUAUAUACAUGACUUAAAAUACCAUGUGCUCUGUGGCACUCUAACAUACAAUGAUCAUAUACAACAUUAGAGCCAUCCAAACCUCCUUAGAACAUGCAAUAUAAACAAAAACAACUCUUUAAGGAAACAUAAAUGGAUAACACUAAAGAUGAAACAUAAAUGGAUAACACGUCUUCACAUCCAGGUCUGCAUAUCCAUGAAGUCUUUGAAGACACGUGGUCACCUCCUAGCAAUAUGCUCCCUACAUACAUUAGAUAUGAGAUCAUCAUGGCACGAACGACACACACAAAAGUGCAAGGGUAAACUUAUAAAAAAACAAACAUACUAAAAUGGGAUAAAACUUAACAAUUAAACAUAAUUUAUUACUAUCAUAAUAGAACAUAACAUGCAAAAAUCAUGAAGAAAUAAAUCUUAAAAUCCACAUAACAGAGCAUCUCAUAAUGAUAAUUAAUUCAAUAACCAUUACAUCAAGAUUUAAUCAUCAUACACCAUCAUCAUCAGUCCAUUUAUCAUCAACAUCAAAGCAUUUCCACAACUCAUCAAGUAACACAUCAUUCUCAAGUCACAAUUAUCAAUGUACAUAUCUAAUUAUCAUGUCAUGUCAUGCUAACUCUUUACUCCUGGAAGAUUUCACCUUGAGCGAUUAACCCAAGUACAUCCCUUAACAUAGUCACACCUUGAUCAUUUAGGGAGACUCAGAUUAACCAUGUGGAAGAAGUGUGAUUUUAUAGAACAUGAAUGAGCGUGGGUAGUGGUUUACUUCUAGUAAAACUUGCAAUGACCUUAACUUAUUUAGGGAUUUGCUCAACCAUCCAUUCUAUAGGCCUUUUCAUUGUUAGCCACCACUGACAACCUCCAUCACUAGGUUGAGGGUCUUCAUAGCACCUCAACUUACGUGUUUACUCACAUGCAAUGUCAUUCAUCAAUGUCUGCAUGCUAUGAUCAUUCAAAUCAAUAUCAUACAUCAUCACAAAUUCAUUCACCAAUCUCAACAUCAUAAAAGGUUGUAAUAUCAUAGAUUCAUUCUUAUGUUCAACACACUGAUGAACUCACUUAUAGUUCAACAAACAUAACAAGACAUUCCAAUACCUUGAAUUCUUGCAAACAACUCACCAAAAAAUCAUAUAAAUGUAAAUCUCUUUAUCUCAACAUAAAAUCAACUCCAAUAAUAAAGCAACAUCAUCUCAACUACGUCUCAUAUCAUAAUCAAUAAAUCAACCAACACUACUGAAGACAUUCAUCAAUUAACAUAAUUAUCUCAUCAUCAAUAUAAUAUUCUCAACAACAACAUGAUAGAUUAACAACAAUAAAAUCAUAGACCAAACCAUGCAUCAUAAAUAUGCAUCACUUUAACUGUUUAUAACAAGUUUAUACUUGAUGUUUAAGGUUAUCAAAAUAUUUCAUAAGUUUUGGGUUACUAUCUUCUUCAUUUUCUAUUAUGCACCUAUGGCAUUUAUAACUUAUAAACAUGAUAAAUAAAUACUAACUCAAUUAAGUUGGUUCUUGUCUCAUUUGAAAGCUAAGAUUAUAUCUAACUUUUAUGUUUAUCCAAAGACCUAAAUUCAAAGCAUACCAUGUCUAAAAUUAAAAUCUAUAUAAAAUUUAUUACUAACAAAUUUUUUUAUUCGUUAAUUUCAUCAUUUAUAGAAUUAUACACAAAGACAUCAUUCAUUGAUUUAACAAGGAGAAAUUAAGCUUUUAUUUUUUUGGUUAGAAGUGUAACCUAAAUCCCUCUUCCAAUAUAGGAUUGGUUUAAUAGGAAGAUACUUGCAUAUUUCCUGAGUUCAAAGAUUAUUAUUGUAAAAAGAGAGUAUGAUUCCAAUACUCCCACAAAUAUUUUAUUGGAAACUGCACAUGUUUUGUGGGGCAAAGAUGCAAGCAUCCAAAAUUGCAGGUGGAGAUUUUUUUUCCUUUUUCUUGUUUGCCACACAGCAACAUCCAUCCCCCCAUUUGGUAUGGGGUAACAUUAUAGCCACUUGUAGCUAAAUUGUAGUUUUAUCCCAGUUUUUUAAAAUCAAACAUCACAUUAUUUCAUUUUCAGGUUCUUGUUGGUCUAUAAUAUCAUACCUGAUUUUCACGUGUAGUGUUUAUAUGGACGAACCUGCGGUGCAAUUAUAACAAUCCUACAUACCGACAUUUUAAAACACAAAUUUCAAUUCUACGACUAUAAUACUGAAAAUAAAACGCAGCGAAAAAUGAUUAUCCCCUUUCAAACGAAUUCAGGUGGAGGGUUAUAUUUAUGUCAUGGGUUCUCAUAUUAGAAUAUGCACGAAUCAAAUAAUAGUGUUGUACCCAUAGAUAUUAUUCCUUUUUAAAUAUAAAUAACGCAGCGUGCAUAUACGAUUCAGUUAGACAAUUAAAUGGAUAUUCAUAAUCAUAAUUGCACGCUCUUUUUUAAUGCAUAAUUAUAUAGAUGAUUGUGUGCAAAAACUAAAACCAGGCUCCAUUAACGGCUCAAAAUGAAAGUACACAAGGUAAGUGCUUAAAAUUAAUAUAUAUAUAUAUAUAUAUAUAUAUAUAUAUAUAUAUAUAUAUAUAUAUAUAUAUAUAUAUAUUCCAAAACUAUCACAUAUUCAUCGUUAUUGUUACUUUUUAAAUAAUUACGGUAAGAAUUAACAUACUUAUUAUAUAUGAUAAUUUAAUAUUAAAUAAUAAUAUAAAAUUAUUUAAUGUUAUUAGUACAUAACUUACUUUUUCAAAAACCUUUUAUAUUAUUAGUUCAUGUAUUAUUUAUUCAUGAAUAGUUUAGCUUUAAUACUUUGUUAGUGUAAAGAAUUUUACACUAUUGAUUAAUUAAAAAUAAUUUUAUAUAUAAUUUUUAAAAAAAUUAUCAUAAAAAUUGAUACUUUUAUUAUACCUAACAGUCCAUACUUAGAUUAACAGUAUAAGAACAUUUAUACUAUUACUAUAUUUUAAUUAAACUCAUAUAAAAUACGUAUUUCUACGUUCUAAUAUAACGAACAUAAGAUUGAAACAAUCAAAACUAAAAGCCAAUGACUGUUAAGGAAUCAAUUUGAAAAAUAAAAGUUGCAAAUGGAUAACAUUGAUUGGGGAUAUGGUUCAGUUUUUUUAUGACUGUGUCAUGGCCUAGCUACCCUUUUGCAACUUUAAACUAGAUAUGGAUAUCAUGUAGUUGCUCUUUCUCUAUGUCUGAGGACAAUGAUGUUGCUACUGAACAACAACGAUAAAAGAUGGGGGUUCCACUUUCACAUACAUGCAUGUUAUAACAACAUGAGAAGACAUCAUACCUAGCCUGCUAGCCACCUAGAACUAGAAGCACUUAAGCCAUGUGUCCCAAUUGCCCAUGCAAUCUCUCCUUUCAACCGGUUGGACUUUGGUCAGAUGCAAUUUACAAAGAUAGAUGCAACCCAAGUUUGAUCUUCCUCACGCAUCCCACAAGAUUUGCUUCUUAUUGUAAUGUAGUCACAAGAUGCAAAGAUACCCUACAUGGAUUUUGUGCGCACCUUUCUGAUUGCUUCUUAAAAAAUAACAAUUAUUUUGCUUCUUAUCGUUUAUUCUACCUGUCAAAUGGGAGCAAG
rnacentral:lncRNA from 1 species